rnacentral:rRNA from 1 species
GACGAACGCUGGCGGCGUGCUUAACACAUGCAAGUCGAACGGAAAGGCCCUGCUUUUGUGGGGUGCUCGAGUGGCGAACGGGUGAGUAACACGUGAGUAACCUGCCCUUGACUUUGGGAUAACUUCAGGAAACUGGGGCUAAUACCGGAUAGGGGCUCCUGCUGCAUGGUGGGGGUUGGAAAGUUUCGGCGGUUGGGGAUGGACUCGCGGCUUAUCAGCUUGUUGGUGGGGUAGUGGCUUACCAAGGCUUUGACGGGUAGCCGGCCUGAGAGGGUGACCGGCCACAUUGGGACUGAGAUACGGCCCAGACUCCUACGGGAGGCAGCAGUGGGGAAUAUUGCACAAUGGGCGGAAUCCUGAUGCAGCAACGCCGCGUGCUGGAUGACGGCCUUCGGGUUGUAAACCGCUUUCGCCUGUGACGAAGCGUGAGUGACGGUAAUGGGUAAAGAAGCACCGGCUAACUACGUG